AUUGAACGCUGGCGGCAGGCCUAACACAUGCAAGUCGAGCGAGCGGCGGACGGGUGAGUAAUGUCUGGGAAACUGCCUGAUGGAGGGGUAUAACUAGUGGAAACGGUAGCUAAUACCGCAUACCAUCAGAUGUGCCCAGAUGGGAUUAGCUAGGAGGUGGGGUAAGGGCUCACCUAGGCGACGAUCCCUAGCUGGUCUGAGAGGAUGACCAGCCACACUGGAACUGAGACACGGUCCAGACUCCUACGGGAGGAAGCAGUGGGGAAUAUUGCACAAUGGGCUCAAGCCUGAUGCAGCCAUGCCGCGUGUGUGAAGAAGGCCUUAGGGUUGUAAAGCACUUUCAGUGGGGAGGCGUUACCCACAGAAGAAGCACCGGCUAACUCCGUGCCAGCAGCCGCGGUAAUUC
rnacentral:rRNA from 1 species